AACCCCCAGCUCUGAUUGUAAGAAAUCAUUGAUAUGUUUGAAAGCUGCUCUUGAAUCUGCUAAGGAGUUGCUUAAAUUUGGUAGUGAAGGUAGCAAGAUUUAUCUAGUACGUAUGUUUAAUUAUUUGUACUUGCUUUCUUUAGCUUAUAUUUUUUCUUCGAUUGGAUUUUUGUCUUACUUGCCUGUUGUUGUUUGGAAUUAGAAGCAAGUAUGUUGGUUUGAUGUUUUUAUGUUUGAUUUGUGUUUUUUCCUUGUUUCAUCUAUUUGAAAUUAAAAUCAAGUUCAGUGAGCUGAACUUUUUCUGUUUGACUUGUGUUUUGCUUGCUUUUGUUGUUUGAAAUUGAAAGCUAGUUCGGACAGGUCAGGUUCUUUUUUUCUUCAAUUUGAUUUGUGUUUUCCUUGCUUGUGGUGUUGGAAAGUAAAAGCAAGCUCGUUCAGUUGAUCUUUUAUUUUUCGAUUUGAUUUGUGUUUUUCCUUGUUUGGUGAUGUUUGAAAGGAAAAGACAAGGGGAUGGUGGGGUAUGAGGAAGAAGACAUAGGGGUGGUGGGGUGUGAGGAAGAAGAAGACAUACGGAUGGUGAGGUGCAAGGAAGAAGAAAAAGAAAAGAAUAGUUGAAAAUUUUAAAGUGGGUCCCACUUAAUUUUUUUAUACUUUUUUUUACUGAAACGCGUUUUGAGUUUUUUUAAAAAUAAAUUGCCACAUCAACCGUUAAGGGAGCAAAAUAAAAAAUUUCAAAGCUCAUAAGGGCAUAAAUAAUUACAGGUUAAGUUUAAUGGCUAAAGUGAGUAUUGGUGACAACUUUAAGGGGGGAACAAGUCUUUUCCCUUAAAUCUAACCUUUAUACAAAAUUUUCUCAAAGCUGACCGAUAUUAAUCUACCAUAUGUAACUACAACAAAAUAACACGUAGUAGAAAUAUCAAAACGACACAAUUAAAUCUAACUUUGACAUAAAAAAUUUCUUAAAGCCGACUGACUUUCAUCUAUCACCUGUAAACUAAAACAAAAAAACAUGAUAAUAGAUAUAUCAAAGCAAUACAAUUAAACCUAACUUUUACACAAAAAAAAUUUCAAAGUCGACCGACAUCCAUCUGUCACCUGUAUUAUGCAAAAAAGAAAAAGUAAGAUAUUAGAACAAUAUGAUUAACUCUAACAUUUACGUAAAAAAUCCUCAAAGUCCGACCAAACAUACAAAACAAUAUGAUAUUAGUGAUAUCAAAAUAAUACAAUUAAAUCUAAUUUUUGCACAAAAAUUUUCUCAAAGUCGAUCAAUAUUCAUCUACCACCUGUAAAACAACUAAUCAGAAAAGAGAAAACAAAUAUUCAACAUUAAAAUUGAAACCUAUUUUGAAUUUGUUCCGUAAUUUCGUUAUAUUUGACAGUUUUAGCAUAAUGCAAGCAAACAACUUGAAUCAAAAUCAAAAUAAGAAGAAAAAAGAAAAUAGAAGUAGACGAAAGACUAUUUUUUUAGGGUAAAAUUUAAUCAAAAUAUUACUUAAAUAGAAUUAUAUAAAUUAUCUUUUAUAUAAGGUAAUAUUUUAAUUAAUUUAAAAGUAUUAAAUAUUAUAAUUAAUCUUAAAUCAAAUUCCACUAAUAAAAAAAGUAGAGUUUGAUGUCCUUGGGUUUCCCUAAUUAUAUUUUAAAACCAAAGUGUCU
rnacentral:lncRNA from 1 species